rnacentral:rRNA from 1 species
GGCGAACGGGUGAGUAACACGUGGGUGAUCUGCCCUGCACUCUGGGAUAAGCCUGGGAAACUGGGUCUAAUACCGGAUAGGACCAUGCUUUAGUGUGUGUGGUGGAAAGUUUUUUCGGUGUAGGAUGAGCCCGCGGCCUAUCAGCUUGUUGGUGAGGUAAUGGCCUACCAAGGCGGCGACGGGUAGCCGGACUGAGAGGUUGGUCGGCCACAUUGGGACUGAGAUACGGCCCAG